ensembl:lncRNA
UGAAGAUGUAUCUGCUGUAUUACAGAGAGAAGUGAGACGUGGCGAGAGAUAAUAUAUGCAGUGUAGCGCUACGACGAUUAGACGUGAAGACAUGAAGCCUUUCUCUUCUUCCUCCUCCUCUUAGCUGGAUUAGCAUGACAAUUAAGUCCUCAAUUAAUGACAUCAUGAUAUCCAUAUCCCUUUGAGAAGCAAAGCUCUUUGAUUUACGAUGUACAGAGAUGGAACUGAAGGACUGAGCUCAUUUUCUGAAUCGCCUGAGCUCAUGCAGCUCUUUUUAAUACAGUUUUCCCCUUGAUUGAGAAGAUCAAAAGUGUACGAUACGAUACAUUGUCCCUGUGGGAAUUGCUUGUAGCUGUGAGCUCUUUUAGAGUAGCAUCACUUUGGGAUGUGGCAUAGUUUGACAUGGUGGGUUGAGUAAUUCUUUAUAGCUUUAAGGUGCGGCCACAUUUACCCUAUCUUGGUGAAAUCCAGUCAUUUCUAUAGGAAUCUGCAGAGAUGGGUGUUUCGCGUAAGGAUGGAAAAGUUCCUCACACACGUUCAAAAAAGUUGGUCAUGCGAAUUUGCCGCGUUGACCAACAGAAAGCUGCUUGGUUUGAAAGUGAUUUCUGUGUUUGAGCGGUGUUUCACGCAUUGUUACUCUAUUGACAUUGGUCUUUCUUUGCCUAUGAAAUUUUGCUAAUGUGACCACACCUUUACGCAAGACCCUAAAGUUGAACUCUUUUCCUUGCCGCUACUGUGUUCUCCCAAAUCCUGAAUAACGUCUGCAUGUGUACUGCCGUAGCACACCCACAUUUUGAAAGUAUUGGAGUUUGUGGUGGUAUGACACAUUUUACAUCAUGUAAAUUCGAUUGCUGUUGUUGGUAGCGUUACAUUUUUAUGCGGCAACUUUAUUCCACGCUCAAAUGAAGGCAGACAUCAUUUAUCAGUCAGAAUUAUACACAGUGAUUUACAUGUUCAUUGUGUCAUAUCGCAAGAUUUACAAAUAAUAUUGUAAAGACUGUGAAAAUAAAGAGAAACAUUUUUAGUGAAAUUCUAUUUAU